AACGAACGCUGGCGGCAGGCUUAACACAUGCAAGUCGAGCGCCCCGCAAGGGGAGCGGCAGACGGGUGAGUAACGCGUGGGAACAUACCCUUUCCUGCGGAAUAGCUCCGGGAAACUGGAAUUAAUACCGCAUACGCCCUACGGGGGAAAGAUUUAUCGGGGAAGGAUUGGCCCGCGUUGGAUUAGCUAGUUGGUGGGGUAAAGGCCUACCAAGGCGACGAUCCAUAGCUGGUCUGAGAGGAUGAUCAGCCACAUUGGGACUGAGACACGGCCCAAACUCCUACGGGAGGCAGCAGUGGGGAAUAUUGGACAAUGGGCGCAAGCCUGAUCCAGCCAUGCCGCGUGAGUGAUGAGGGCCUUAGGGUUGUAAAGCUCUUUCACCGGAGAAGAUAAUGACGGUAUCCGGAGAAGAAGCCCCGGCUAACUUCGUGCCAGCCGCCGCCGUAA
rnacentral:rRNA from 1 species